rnacentral:rRNA from 1 species
UGCAUAUCAAUAAGCGGAGGAAAAGAAACCAACAGGGAUUGCCUCAGUAGCGGCGAGUGAAGCGGCAAGAGCUCAGAUUUGAAAUCGUGCUUUGCGGCACGAGUUGUAGAUUGCAGGUUGGAGUCUGUGUGGAAGGCGGUGUCCAAGUCCCUUGGAACAGGGCGCCCAGGAGGGUGAGAGCCCCGUGGGAUGCCGGCGGAAGCAGUGAGGCCCUUCUGACGAGUCGAGUUGUUUGGGAAUGCAGCUCCAAGCGGGUGGUAAAUUCCAUCUAAGGCUAAAUACUGGCGAGAGACCGAUAGCGAACAAGUACUGUGAAGGAAAGAUGAAAAGCACUUUGAAAAGAGAGUGAAACAGCACGUGAAAUUGUUGAAAGGGAAGGGUAUUGCGCCCGACAUGGGGAUUGCGCACCGCUGCCUCUCGUGGGCGGCGCUCUGGGCUUUCCCUGGGCCAGCAUCGGUUCUUGCUGCAGGAGAAGGGGUUCUGGAACGUGGCUCUUCGGAGUGUUAUAGCCAGGGCCAGAUGCUGCGUGCGGGGACCGAGGACUGCGGCUCGCGUAGAGGGCGGAGUGCAUGGCAGGCCG